GACUGACUGACUGACUGACUGACGGACGGACGGGCCGAUAGACCGGCCGAGGGGAGGGAGCACUGACUGACUGACUGACUGACUGACUGACGGACGGACGGGCCGAUAGACCGGCCGAGGGGAGGGAGCACUGACUGACUGACUGACUGACUGACGGACGGACGGGCCGAUAGACCGGCCGAGGGGAGGGAGCACUGACUGACUGACUGACUGACUGACUGACGGACGGACGGGCCGAUAGACCGGCCGAGGGGAGGGAGCACUGACUGACUGACGGACGGGCCGAUGGACCGGCCGAGGACAGGGAGCGCUGACUGACGGACGGACCGAUAGACCGGCCGAGGGGAAGGAGCGCUGACGGACGGACGGACGGACGGACGGGGUUGGCCUAGAGCGCCCGAGGCCUCGGGUGGACGGCGGCCGCGGGAGGGCGGUUUCCCAGCAGUUGGCAGCCGCGGGCCUGGCGUCCGGUGGUGGAAGACCUUAGUCUUCGGACCCAGUCCCAGGCAUGACCCGUUCAAAAGCCUCCCCUCCAGAUGGUCACUCUCUGCCCCGGCGUGUCACGUGGUGAUGCUCUGACUUCCGUUCAGUGCCCUGCUGUCUGAGGCUCCUGACCGGCCACCAAACCUGCUGAUAUAAAGUGGGUUAGUGCCUGUAGUGACCGGAAGGUGCUGGCACGUCUAAGGGCUCAGCCGUGUUUCUCAGGCACCAGAGUGGUUCAGAAAACUUUUCUGACACGAGCCCCUUUAUGAAAAGGUAAAUGAUGAAAUCUUCACUCAUAAAAUAGUUUCUUCUAGUUUCUAACUGUCUCUCAGUGGAAAACAAACCAUCAAAACCACUUGGGAUAAAAAUAAGAGGUUAUUUUAUCUUGUUGAUGUCAUGUAUUUAUAUCCUGUUUGCCACAUGAGUCUGGCCAUCUAAACAGGAGGGCAGGCCCCAUGCCAACUGAAAACUCACAUCUCGUUGAGCAAGAUUGUAUUAUUUAAAAUGUCCUUGAACAACAGUAGAAAAACUCCGGCCUUUUCCCACUGUCUGCGGGUGAGCAGAGAUUGAGAGGAAGUUUGUGCUCUAAAUAGCAAAUCCGCUCACAGCCAAGAGACCCUACAGGCUUAGGCAAUGUGAAAUGCCAUAUUGUGUGAUCUCUUCAACACUGGGGUUUCUGACUUAAUGCCAGAAGAUUAAAAAAGCCUUCCUGAGGCACCAACAUUUCUCAAACUUCGUUUUGGGGGUGGAGGUGAGGAUGGGAUUCACACGAACGAUAAUCCAGAGACUUCAAGGAAAAGUAAUGCUUUCAGGGGGU
ensembl:lncRNA